AAAGAAUUAGUUUAACAAAAUAAAAACUUUAAUUUGUCAAAUUAAUAAUACUAAUUAAUUGGUGUUCUUUU
rnacentral:tRNA from 1 species